rnacentral:rRNA from 1 species
UAGGGAAUCUUCCGCAAUGGGCGAAAGCCUGACGGAGCAACGCCGUGUGAGUGAUGAAGGUCUUCGGAUCGUAAAACUCUGUUAUUAGGGAAGAACAAAUGUGUAAGUAACUAUGCACGUCUUGACGGUACCUAAUCAGAAAGCCACGGCUAACUACGUGCCAGCAGCCGCGGUAAUACGUAGGUGGCAAGCGUUAUCCGGAAUUAUUGGGCGUAAAGCGCGCGUAGGCGGUUUUUUAAGUCUGAUGUGAAAGCCCACGGCUCAACCGUGGAGGGUCAUUGGAAACUGGAAAACUUGAGUGCAGAAGAGGAAAGUGGAAUUCCAUGUGUAGCGGUGAAAUGCGCAGAGAUAUGGAGGAACACCAGUGGCGAAGGCGACUUUCUGGUCUGUAACUGACGCUGAUGUGCGAAAGCGUGGAGAUCAAACAGG